UUUAAUUACGCCACAACUGCGUCCGGUGUUCGUCGUCCGUUAAGUGCGUCUGUUUCUCGAGUCUCGUAUCGUCGUGGCUUCCGGCCAUUACGAAGCGACCUCUCGGCCGGCCGCGGAGUCCUCGCCGCCAUGGCCCUAUACAGGCUCGUGGCCGUGAUCAAGAACCCUUCGGACGGGGACUUUCUUGUGGUCCGUCAGGCUCCGCCUCCCCCGCUGCCGGAGGAGGAGUACCGAAGUUUCGUGGAUUCCGAUCUCUGGGACUUGCCAUCGGCGCCGCUGAACCCUCUGGGGGGAGAUCGCCGGUCGGAGACGGUUGUCGAGGGCGCUUACUCCCUGUUGGAUGACCUUGAUGUGGAAAAGUUCGAUGUCGAUUCCGCCCUCGAUGAGGUUUUAUCGCUAUCCUAUCUGGAAAGCCCACUCGAAGGACGAUGGUCGGUAUGGAAGUUUGUCAAAGAACCUGAAUUUGGUCCAGGACCACCUGUCAAUGUACUGUUUAUACUUGGAAUUGUAAAAUCAAAGGAAGGGAUCUUAAAAGAGUCAUGCCAGUGGUUGUCAAAAGAGAGUGCCUUGAUGUUGCUUCAGGAAGUAAAGGCAAGUGCCACACGUGUAGGGCCUUUUGUAUUCAUGGGAAUUGUUCCUGGCGUAGCAAAAGCUACCAAUGUUUCAGCAACUUGCACCUUGCAUUAUCAGGAGUACCCUCCAGGUAUCACACUUGUGCCAAUGAAGAGUAGAACUAGAGAGCCAUUUCACACUACAAAUCUGAUUGUAGUGGUGGCAGAUGAUGCAAUUAAUGAACAAAAAGAUUCUAGCUUUGUUACUUAUGGAAAUUCUCUGCUUGUUGAUCCUGGAUGCUCGUCACGUUUCCAUCCUGAUUUGGCAGAUCUUGUAGCUAAAUUGCCAAGAAAGUUAGUGGUGUUUGUCACUCAUCAUCACUAUGAUCAUGUGGAUGGUCUCUCGGUUAUCCAGAAAUGCAAUCCUGAUGCGGUUCUGUUAGCACAUGAAAACACUAGUCGUCACAUAGGAAGAGGUGAAUGGUCUCUUUGUCGCACCUUGAUAUCUGGUGGAGAGAAAAUACAAAUUGGUGAUCAUCGAUUUGAAGUUAUCUUUGCACCGGGUCACACAGAUGGUCAUCUUGCUUUGCUUCAUGUUUCUACAAACUCACUCAUUGUUGGAGAUCAUUGUGUAGGGCAAGGAAGUGCUGUUCUGGAUGUAAGAGCUGGUGGAAAUUUGAAGGAUUAUUUCCAGACAACUUACAGAUUCUUGGAUCUCUCACCACAUGUUUUAAUUCCAAUGCAUGGGAGGAUCAACCUUUGGCCAAAACGGAUGCUUUGUGGAUACCUCAAGCACCGAAGAGACCGGGAAUUGUCCAUUUUGAAUGCCAUUGAAAAUGGAUCAAAAACUUUAUUUGAUAUAAUUUCUAAAUCAUAUGCUGAUGUGGAUAUCAAAUUUUGGCUUCCAGCUUCUUCGAAUGUAAGAAUUCAUGUGGAUCAUCUUGCCUACCAAGAGAAGCUCCCAAAGGAUUUCUCCAUGGAAGAUUUCAUUCACAGUUACGAGAUGUUCCUUGAAGAAAUGGGUGUUAGCAACACAGAAGAAUAAAUCAAUAUGAAGCUUGUCGGAUUUUCUCCUCCUUUCUCUUCGAUUAUGGUUCGUCUUUAAUGAUGUCCAAGUGAAUAUAUUGAUUUUUCCAUUCAAAAAUUCCAAGCAUCCUGUGGGUCGCAUUUUCUCUGUCGAUGGUCGUGGACAUAUUUGAAGAGCUGAGGCAUUGUUACAGUGAUUGGAGUUAUCGGAGCUGCAAGUUUUGCCAUUGCCUUUGCUGUAAAGGAGAAAUUCAGUGGAUGAAAUCUGAACCCCUUUGUUUUGAUCCACUCGCUUUGGUUUGAUUUCCUUGUGAACUCGUGAGGAACAGAGGAAACAAGUUAGAUAAAUGAUCUAAGAUGCACAUGAUCCUGAUUGGGAAAUUGUUUGCAGCGGAAACUAUUACAAGCUUCGAUGUGCAUUUUUCCAUUAGGUUUGUUCCUUCUUGAAUUCAACGCCUUCUUAGAGGUUGAUUAGAAGCCACUCAUUGACUUUAAGCUCAUGUGAUUCUUCUCUAAAUUUUGUUUUACUAACACAACAGUGGUGUAACUUCUUUGUAAUUUGUGAAUGGCAAAGAAAGAUGUUCCAAAUGCAAUCAUA